UGAGUGCUGGUAAUAAGGCACGGGCAGCCAC
rnacentral:piRNA from 1 species